AUUGAACGCUGGCGGCAGGCCUAACACAUGCAAGUCGAGCGAGCGUCGGGCGGGUGAGUAAUGUCUUGGAAACUGCCGGAUGGGGGGGGAUAACUACUGGAAACGGUAUCUCAUCCAGCGUACCCUCAGGUGUGCGCAGAUGGGGGUAGAUAGUGGGGGGGGUAACGGCUCACCUAGGCGACGAUCCCUAGCUGGUCUGAGAGGAUGACCAGCCACACUGGAACUGAGACACGGCCCAGACUCCUACGGGAGGCAGCAGUGGGGAAUAUUGCGCAAUGGGCGCAAGCCUGAUGCAGCCAUGCCGCGUGAGUGAAGAAGGCCUUCGGGUUGUAAAGCUCUUUCAGCGGGGAGGCGUUACCCGCAGAAGAAGCACCGGCUAACUCCGUGCCAGCAGCCGCGGUAAUAC
rnacentral:rRNA from 1 species